GAUGAACGCUGACAGAAUGCUUAACACAUGCAAGUCGAUGGGGAAGUGGUGCUUGCACCAUGGUAACCAUGGCGGACGGGUGAGUAACGCGUAAGGGACUUACCUGCAGGACUGGGAUAACAGGGGGAAACUCCUGACAAGACCGGAUAAUGUCAUGGAGCUGCAUGGCUUUAUGAUUAAAGGAGACGCCUGCGGAGAGCCUUGCGUCCUAUUAGCUAGUUGGUGAGGUAAGGGCUCACCAAGGCGAAGAUAGGUAGCCGGCCUGAGAGGGUGGACGGCCACAAGGGGACUGAGACACGGCCCUUACUCCUACGGGAGGCAGCAGUGGGGAAUAUUGGACAAUGGGGGCAACCCUGAUCCAGCAAUUCUGUGUGCACGAAGAAGGUUUUCGGAUUGUAAAGUGCUUUCAGCAGGGAAGAAGGAAGUGACGGUACCUGCAGAAGAAGCGACGGUAA
rnacentral:rRNA from 1 species